UACAUGGGGUGCAAACGUUGCUCGGAAUCAUUGGGCGUAAAGCGCGCGUAGGCGGUUACUUAAGUCGGAUGUGAAAGCCCUCGGCUUAACCGAGGAAGUGCAUCCGAAACUGAGUAGCUAGAGUACUAAAGAGGGUCGCGGAAUUCCCGGUGUAGAGGUGAAAUUCGUAGAUAUCUGGAGGAACACCGGUGGCGAAGGCGGCAUCCUGGACCAACACUGACGCUGAGUGAGCGAAAGCGUGGGGAGCGAACAGG
rnacentral:rRNA from 1 species